UACGGAGGGUGCAAGCGUUAUCCGGAUUUACUGGGUUUAAAGGGUGCGUCGGCGGGCUUUUAAGUCAGUGGUGAAAUCUCCGAGCUUAACUCGGAAAUUGCCAUUGAUACUAUUAGUCUUGAAUUAAGUUGAGGUGGGCGGAAUGUGUCAUGUAGCGGUGAAAUGCUUAGAUAUGACACAGAACACCGAUUGCGAAGGCAGCUCGCUAAACUUAUAUUGACGCUGAGGCACGAAAGCGUGGGGAUCAAACAGG
rnacentral:rRNA from 1 species